UACGAAGGGGGCUAGCGUUGCUCGGAAUCACUGGGCGUAAAGGGUGCGUAGGCGGGUUUAUUAGUAGGGGUGAAAUCCUGGAGCUCAACUCCAGAACUGCCUUUGAUACUGAAGAUCUUGAGUUCGGGAGAGGUGAGUGGAACUGCGAGUGUAGAGGUGAAAUUCGUAGAUAUUCGGAAGAACACCAGUGGCGAAGGCGACUUACUGGACACAUAUUGACGCUGAGGUGCGAAAGCGUGGGGAGCAAACAGG
rnacentral:rRNA from 1 species